AAUCCAUAGGUUAAUGAGGCGAACCGGGGGAACUGAAACAUCUAAGUACCCCGAGGAAAAGAAAUCAACCGAGAUUCCCCCAGUAGCGGCGAGCGAACGGGGAGGAGCCCAGAGCCUGAAUCAGCAUGUGUGUUAGUGGAAGCGUCUGGAAAGGCGCGCGAUACAGGGUGACAGCCCCGUACACAAAAGCGCAUGUGCUGUGAGCUCGAUGAGUAGGGCGGGACACGUGGUAUCCUGUCUGAAUAUGGGGGGACCAUCCUCCAAGGCUAAAUACUCCUGACUGACCGAUAGUGAACCAGUACCGUGAGGGAAAGGCGAAAAGAACCCCGGCGAGGGGAGUGAAAAAGAACCUGAAACCGUGUACGUACAAGCAGUGGGAGCACCCUUUGGGUGUGACUGCGUACCUUUUGUAUAAUGGGUCAGCGACUUAUAUUCUGUAGCAAGGUUAACCGAAUAGGGGAGCCGGAGGGAAACCGAGUCUUAACCGGGCGUUAAGUUGCAGGGUAUAGACCCGAAACCCGGUGAUCUAGCCAUGGGCAGGUUGAAGGUUGGGUAACACUAACUGGAGGACCGAACCGACUAAUGUUGAAAAAUUAGCGGAUGACCUGUGGCUGGGGGUGAAAGGCCAAUCAAACCGGGAGAUAGCUGGUUCUCCCCGAAAGCUAUUUAGGUAGCGCCUCGUGAAUUCAUCUCCGGGGGUAGAGCACUGUUUCGGCUAGGGGGCCAUCCCGGCUUACCAACCCGAUGCAAACUGCGAAUACCGGAGAAUGUUAUCACGGGAGACACACGGCGGGUGCUAACGUCCGUCGUGAAGAGGGAAACAACCCAGACCGCCAGCUAAGGUCCCAAAGUCAUGGUUAAGUGGGAAACGAUGUGGGAAGGCCCAGACAGCCAGGAUGUUGGCUUAGAAGCAGCCAUCAUUUAAAGAAAGCGUAAUAGCUCACUGGUCGAGUCGGCCUGCGCGGAAGAUGUAACGGGGCUAAACCAUGCACCGAAGCUGCGGCAGCGACACUGUGUGUUGUUGGGUAGGGGAGCGUUCUGUAAGCCUGUGAAGGUGUGUCGUGAGGCAUGCUGGAGGUAUCAGAAGUGCGAAUGCUGACAUAAGUAACGAUAAAGCGGGUGAAAAGCCCGCUCGCCGGAAGACCAAGGGUUCCUGUCCAACGUUAAUCGGGGCAGGGUGAGUCGACCCCUAAGGCGAGGCCGAAAGGCGUAGUCGAUGGGAAACGGGUUAAUAUUCCCGUACUUGGUGUUACUGCGAAGGGGGGACGGAGAAGGCUAUGUUGGCCGGGCGACGGUUGUCCCGGUUUAAGCGUGUAGGUGUGUGUUCCAGGUAAAUCCGGUUCACUUUAACACUGAGGCGUGACGACGAGGCACUACGGUGCUGAAGCAACAAAUGCCCUGCUUCCAGGAAAAGCCUCUAAGCAUCAGGUAACAUCAAAUCGUACCCCAAACCGACACAGGUGGUCAGGUAGAGAAUACCAAGGCGCUUGAGAGAACUCGGGUGAAGGAACUAGGCAAAAUGGUGCCGUAACUUCGGGAGAAGGCACGCUGACACGUAGGUGAAGUGAUUUACUCAUGGAGCUGAAGUCAGUCGAAGAUACCAGCUGGCUGCAACUGUUUAUUAAAAACACAGCACUGUGCAAACACGAAAGUGGACGUAUACGGUGUGACGCCUGCCCGGUGCCGGAAGGUUAAUUGAUGGGGUCAGCGCAAGCGAAGCUCCUGAUCGAAGCCCCGGUAAACGGCGGCCGUAACUAUAACGGUCCUAAGGUAGCGAAAUUCCUUGUCGGGUAAGUUCCGACCUGCACGAAUGGCGUAAUGAUGGCCAGGCUGUCUCCACCCGAGACUCAGUGAAAUUGAACUCGCUGUGAAGAUGCAGUGUACCCGCGGCAAGACGGAAAGACCCCGUGAACCUUUACUAUAGCUUGACACUGAACAUUGAGCCUUGAUGUGUAGGAUAGGUGGGAGGCUUUGAAGUGUGGACGCCAGUCUGCAUGGAGCCGACCUUGAAAUACCACCCUUUAAUGUUUGAUGUUCUAACGUGGACCCGUUACCCGGGUUGCGGACAGUGUCUGGUGGGUAGUUUGACUGGGGCGGUCUCCUCCUAAAGAGUAACGGAGGAGCACGAAGGUUGGCUAAUCCUGGUCGGACAUCAGGAGGUUAGUGCAAUGGCAUAAGCCAGCUUGACUGCGAGCGUGACGGCGCGAGCAGGUGCGAAAGCAGGUCAUAGUGAUCCGGUGGUUCUGAAUGGAAGGGCCAUCGCUCAACGGAUAAAAGGUACUCCGGGGAUAACAGGCUGAUACCGCCCAAGAGUUCAUAUCGACGGCGGUGUUUGGCACCUCGAUGUCGGCUCAUCACAUCCUGGGGCUGAAGUAGGUCCCAAGGGUAUGGCUGUUCGCCAUUUAAAGUGGUACGCGAGCUGGGUUUAGAACGUCGUGAGACAGUUCGGUCCCUAUCUGCCGUGGGCGCUGGAGAACUGAGGGGGGCUGCUCCUAGUACGAGAGGACCGGAGUGGACGCAUCACUGGUGUUCGGGUUGUCAUGCCAAUGGCACUGCCCGGUAGCUAAAUGCGGAAGAGAUAAGUGCUGAAAGCAUCUAAGCACGAAACUUGCCCCGAGAUGAGUUCUCCCUGAGACUUAGAGUCUCCUGAAGGAACGUUGAAGACGACGACGUUGAUAGGCCGGGUGUGUAAGCGCAGCGAUGCGUUGAGCUAACCGGUACUAAUGAACCGUGAGGCUUAACCUUACAACGCCGAAG
rnacentral:rRNA from 1 species